GUUUGAAAGCGUUGGAGUGUCAUACGGGACAGGGAGCGACUGUAUAGGUCUGAAACGACGUUCUAGAUAGACACUUACAACGACAAGUAUUGCGGCUGUGUAAUUUUCCGAAGUUUUAGCAAGUCUCAUCAAACAAUCAUGGAGUUUCCAAGAUGCGAAUGGUGCGGUAUAAAACAAGCUACACUUCAAUUUUAUCCAUGCCACUGCUACACCUGUUUCGACUGCGUGAACGAGCGAGCGAAAGAAAGAUCAAAUCUAAGCCGAUGUCCCGUAUGUAACCAAAUAGGUUCUUGUGAUGGAUCAAAUCCUCACACUCCUCAAAGUUACAAAUGGUGGCUACUCACAGUCUACUCAUAAUCUUAUACUGCUUGACAAACCUGCAGUGAAGUGAUUGUCAUAUUUUGGAGGCACGCAAGUGAAUACUUAGAGCGUGUGUGGUACUUGUUAGUCGUUUGUUCGCUCGUUGGAUAUCAGAAAGCCACAGUAUUACGUCAUGCAGUAAAUUGUUUGCACUAUUGGAGUUUUGCCGUAGACCUCCAAAAGCUGCUUUAGAAUCUAACU